UUGCCCUCAAGGACAUGCAUAAAAAGCUAACCGGGCAUGGCAACAUACAGAAAAACGAAGCAAGCAGGAAAAGAGCAGAUCUACCCACUGGGUCUGGAGACCUGGCUGGCAGUGGAGGCUCAGCUAGCAAGCCAAGACACAUUGUUCAAGAUAGUUAAGACAGUUCUACCUAUAAUUCAGACAGCCAGGCAUCUAUGGUGUAGGAGUGAGGCAACGUAGAAGGAGAGAAUCAAGGAAGAAGUUUAGAGUCAAAUCAUCCCAGCUUACUAAUAAGCAAGAAGUCAGCCCAUUUGCCCAUUAUCCUGCAACAGUCCCCAAGGCAUCCUCUCUGUCCUUAAAUAAAUAGAUCCAAAGCAAGAUGAAUGAAUGGUUCAGGGAAAGAUAAAUAUCUCCAGAAAAAUGCAAUAAAGAGAAAUUUUGAGCCAA
rnacentral:antisense_RNA from 1 species